CUGCGAAUGGCUCAUUAUAUAAGUUAUCGUUUAUUUGAUAGUACCUUACUACUUGGAUAACCGUGGUAAUUCUAGAGCUAAUACAUGCUAAAAAUCCCGACUUCGGAAGGGAUGUAUUUAUUAGAUACAAAACCAAUGCCCCUCGGGGCUCUCUGGUGAUUCAUGAUAACUCGUCGAAUCGCACGGCCUUGCGCCGGCGAUGGUUCAUUCAAAUUUCUUCCCUAUCAACUUUCGAUGUUUGGGUAGUGGCCAAACAUGGUGGCAACGGGUAACGGAGGGUUAGGGCUCGACCCCGGAGAAGGAGCCUGAGAAACGGCUACUACAUCCAAGGAAGGCAGCAGGCGCGCAAAUUACCCAAUCCCGAUACGGGGAGGUAGUGACAAUAAAUACUGAUACAGGGCUCUUUUGGGUCUUGUAAUUGGAAUGAGUACAAUUUAAAUCCCUUAACGAGGAACAAUUGGAGGGCAAGUCUGGUGCCAGCAGCCGCGGUAAUUCCAGCUCCAAUAGCGUAUAUUAAAGUUGUUGUGGUUAAAAAGCUCGUAGUUGAAUCUUGGGCCUGGCUGGCCGGUCCGCCUCACCGCGUGUACUGGUCCGGCCGGGUCUUUCACUCUGCGGAACCACAUGCCCUUCAGUGGGUGUGGCGGGGAAGCAGGACUUUUACUUUGAAAAAAUUAGAGUGCUCUAAGCAGGCCAAUGCUCGAAUACAUUAGCAUGGAAUAAUAAAAUAGGACGCGCGGUUCUAUUUUGUUGGUUUCUAGGACCGCCGUAAUGAUGAAUAGGGACAGUCGGGGGCAUCAGUAUUCAGUUGUCAGAGGUGAAAUUCUUGGAUCUACUGAAACUAAACUACUGCGAAAGCAUUUGCCAAGGAUGUUUUCAUUAAUCAGGAACGAAAGUUAGGGGAUCGAAGACGAUCAGAUACCGUCGUAGUCUUAACCAUAAACUAUGCCGACUAGGGAUCGGACGAUUUUAUUUAUUUGACUCGUUCCGCACCUUACGAGAAAUCAAAAUGCUUUG
rnacentral:rRNA from 1 species